rnacentral:ncRNA from 1 species
ACUUUCCUUGUCAUGGGGUGGAUUGGUAGGCUCAAUGAACGCUAUGUGAGAGUCUUCCUGCUGACACCAUAGCAACACAUUAGCACCGCCUGGGCCACGUGCUCACGGUCGGGUGCAAUUUUUGGAAAC